GCGGGCCGAAGCGCGAGUGCUGCUCUGUGACAGCCUCCGGCCGCGGCCUUCCCAGCUGCUACCGCCGCUUUUCGGAUGGGCUGUGAUAGAUGGAGUAGCAGCGAAGACUGCUAGAAGAGCGUUUUCAGUCGGCCUUUAGUGAUUCGUAAAACCAAAUUAGCUGGUUUCUACUUGGAAGGGGUACAGAAGAUCAAACUCUCCCAAAAAGUAGAGAUUAAACAACAACUAAAGAUGGCGAAUCAUAGAAGUUACCACCAUUCCUGGUAUUGGUCCCAGUUCUUCUAAGAAUAUUUUUGAUGCAAGAGCUGUUUUAUCUUGAAUCCUACAUAGCUUAUUUUCCAUUUUUCCAUUCAAAUAAAACAACAAGAGAACAAUAGAGUGAAGAAAAAGGAUGUUUAAGCCUAAAUCCAAGACUGAGGUACAAGACCAAGAAAAGUGGGGCAGAAGAUGGAAAAGAACAAGUGAAGAAUCUUGGAAACAAUUCAAAGGAGACUUGCUCUGUUGCCCAGUCUGGAGUGCAGUGGCACAAUCUCAGCACACUGCAACUUCCACCUCCUGUGUUCAAGUGAUUCUCCUGCCUCAGCCUCCUGAGUAUCUGGGAUUACAGGCCAACCCUGCUUAUUCCUGUAAACCAACCAGUGAUCUCUGGCUGCUGCUUAGAAGAAACAAGAGGGAUGGCUAAUUAAACAGGUUGAAGUAAAGGAGCCAGCCCAAACCCACCAAAACCAAAAUGGUGACGAGAGUGACAUCUGGUCGUCCUCACUGCUACACUCCCACCAGCACCACGACAGUUUACAAAUUCUAUGACAAUGUCAGGAAGUUACCCUAUGUGGUCUAAAAAGAGGAGGCAUGAAUAAUCCACCCCUUGUUUAGCAUAUCAUCAAGAAAUAACCAUAAAAAUAGGCAAUCUGCAGCCCCCAGGCUGCUCUGUCUAUGGAGUAGCUGUUCUUUUUUUCUUUUACUUUCUUAAUAAACUUCCUUUCACUUUGC
ensembl:lncRNA C2CD5-AS1 C2CD5 antisense RNA 1